AAAAUAGGUCUGCGUUUUUCCCCGACAGAAAUGGAUGUGCUACUACAAGCAUAUAGUGACUACGAGCCCAUAUUCCGUAAGAGAAGCAACACGGUUGCAGCGGCGAAAGAGAGAGAGUUAGCUUGGGGGAAAAUAGCUGCCCGAGUCAAUGCGUGCAAUCCUGCAGGCAUAAAAAGAACGUGGCAGCAGCUAAAAAUGAAAUAUAAAAACAUAAUUCAAACAGCCAACAGAAAGAAGGCAGAGGCCAGAAAAACUGGUGGAGGAC